rnacentral:rRNA from 1 species
GACGAACGCUGGCGGCGUGCUUAACACAUGCAAGUCGAACGGAGUGGCGAACGGGUGAGUAACACGCGGGUGACCUUCCCCGCACUUCGGGAUAAGCCUGGGAAACUGGGUCUAAUACCGGAUAGUGUGGGAUGUGCCCGCGGCCUAUCAGCUUGUUGGUGGGGUAAUGGCCUACCGAGGCGGCGACGGGUAGCCGGCCUGCGAGGGUGGACGGCCAGAUUGGGACUGGGACAGGGGCCAAACGUGUACGGGGGGCAGCAGUGGGGAAUAUUGCAGUAUAAGCGCGAGCCUGAUGAGGCGACGCCGCGUGGGGGAUAACAGCCUUCGGGAUGUAAACACCUUUCACCAUCGACGCGGUAAAUGCGGAAGAAGCACCGGCUAACUACGUGCAAGCAGCCGCGGUAAUAC